rnacentral:lncRNA from 10 species
CUCCAUCCUGGGCUGCACCUUUACUAUUCACCCAAGUUCAGUUAGAUACAACACUCACAUUGUACAAGUUAUAUGGAACAGGAUUAUUACUUACAGAUAGGUGGCAAGGGACAACAGAAGCCCAGGAUCCACAGUGAGCUGGUCAGCCGAGGCUCUGGAGAGCUGUCGGGGGUGGAUGGAGUCCUGACUGAACAUGCCACACUUGGACUGCAGCUUAGGGAUCCCAAAAGGCAACCCACCUUGAGUUAACUCAGGGGACAUAUGAUGUUUCCUUUCCUGCCCAAUUUAUCUGGUUAAAACGUCUGAUACACUGUUGAAUAGAAGAGGCAAGGGCACAUGUUCAUGUCUUGUUCCUGAUAUUGGGAGAAAGCAUCCCGUUUUUCACCACUCUGGCCAGGACAGCCUAUCUGUGCAGGAGGCAUUGCUGGCACCCCGUGGGGACUGAGGACCAAGGAGGAGCUGCUCCCCCACACACGGUUCGUACUUCUGCUCUGUGAAGAGAGACAACUGUGCCCUGUCACCUUCACUGAACUAUGAGGAUAUUUUUAUAAGACAUCUAUUUCCCAGAUGAGAUAUUCCCUGACAAGUUUUAGGAUAUCAUUAUGUUGUCUGCUGGCUCAUCAACUGAGAAAUCAGCUGCCAGUCUUAUUGUUGUCUCUGUAAAGGAAUGUGUUUUUCACAUCUGGC